rnacentral:misc_RNA from 1 species
GAAAUGCGAUAAGUAAUGUGAAUUGCAGAAUUCAGUGAAUCAUCGAAUCUUUGAACGCACAUUGCGCCCCUUGGUAUUCCGAGGGGCAUGCCUGUUCGAGCGUCAUUUCAACCCUCAAGCUUCUGCUUGGUAUUGGGCUUUCGUCCACCUUUUUCGAAAGGAGGACGUGCCUGAAACUCAUAGGCGGUUUUACUCAACUCCUUUGCGUAGUUAUAUACUUCUCUCGCUCUGGAGGAUUUUUGAGUUUGACUCGCCCAAGAACCUUUUAAACUUCUCAAAGGUUUGACCUCGGAUCAGGUAGGGAUACCCGCUGAACUUAA